AGGGUUUUGUUUUUCACAUGAAAAACGUCCGCCUCCAUUUUAGCGGGCUCCGUAGAUGAAUUUUUUUAAUCUCGCUUCCCUCUAUCUCCUUUCUUCAUUCAUUUUCCCUCUUUCCCGCUUCCCUCUAUCUCCUUUCUUCAUUCGUUUUCCCUCUUUCUCGUUCAGUUUCCUACUCGAUCCUUCCACUCACACCCUCUCCUUCGAUCCUUUAUUCUUCAUUUUCCAACUGUUGAAGCUUACUCCGCCAGAGUUACUUCUGUUUGCAGCAGCUGCAAUGGUUCACAUCGAGUUCAGUGUCAUCUGCUUGCCAAAUUUACUUCUUUCCACCGCCAUCGGAGUUCCUUUUUUCCUGUUAUCGUCAUCAUUGAUUCGUCGUCAUUGUCAUCUGCUUGUCGUCGCCGUCAUCUGCUUGCCAUCACCAUCGUCAUCACCGUUUCAAGUUUUGUUUUGAUCUAGGCACAUUCAUCCUUUCUCAGUCACCUCUUUUGUUCGAUUUGUUCUCCAACUAAGAAUUAUCACUUCUUACUGACCUAGAGGAGCUAGAUUUAAGCUCUACUAGGCUUCAUGGCACACCCAAUAUCCAAGGCUGAAAUCUGGAAUGUAUCUUCCUCCCCCUCUCUCUCUUGACGGACCACCAUUUCCACCCAUCGGGCUCGAUUUGCUGGUGAAGCAAAUAGACCACCAUUGUAACUCUCCAAGAUCGAUUUGCAGGAAGAAUAUGAUUCAAAACUCAAAUUGAAGAACACUUGUGAGCCUUUAUCGAUUCAACUUACCCGCUAAUUUGCCAAGUAAUCCACAAAAUAAUUCUCAGUUUUAUGUUUGUAAGCACUUAGUUAAACUUUUGUAGUUGACACUUUUAAUAUGUAUUAUUAGACACAUUUAAUGUAUUAUUAGACAAUGUUCAUUAGUAAUAUGUAUUUGUAUUUGAUA